rnacentral:rRNA from 1 species
CCUACGGGAGGCAGCAGUAAGGAAUAUUGGUCAAUGGGCGCAAGCCUGAACCAGCCAUGCCGCGUGCAGGAAGACGGCCCUAUGGGUUGUAAACUGCUUUUGAACAAGAGAAAACCUCGGUACGUGUACCGAGCUGAUAGUAUUGUUAGAAUAAGCAUCGGCUAACUUCGUGCCAGCAGCCGCGGUAAGGCGAAGGAUGCAAGCGUUAUCCGGAUUCAUUGGGUUUAAAGGGUGCGUAGGCGGCCUGAUAAGUCAGUGGUGAAAUCUCUCAGCUUAACUGAGAAACUGCCAUUGAUACUGUCGGGCUUGAGUACAGAUGAUGUGGGCGGAAUAUGACAUGUAGUGGUGAAAUACUUAGAUAUGUCAUAGAACACCGAUUGCGAAGGCAGCUCACAAAACUGUAACUGACGCUGAGGCACGAAAGUGCGGGGAUCAAACAGGAUUAGAUACCCUGGUAGUCCGCACCGUAAACGAUGAUUACUCGUUGUUGGCAAUAUGACCGUCAGCGACCAAGCGAAAGCGAUAAGUAAUCCACCUGGGGAGUACGCGCAACGGUGAAACGUUAGAGAGUGAGNNGAGAGNGCGAGACGCGACGAGGGAGGAG